rnacentral:rRNA from 1 species
UACAGAGGGGGCAAGCGUUGUUCGGAAUUACUGGGCGUAAAGGGCGCGUAGGCGGCCUGUUAAGUCGAACGUGAAAUCCCCGGGCUCAACCCGGGAACUGCGUCCGAUACUGGCAGGCUUGAAUCCGGGAGAGGGAUGCGGAAUUCCAGGUGUAGCGGUGAAAUGCGUAGAUAUCUGGAGGAACACCGGUGGCGAAGGCGGCUCUCUGGGACGGUUCUGACGCUGAGGUGCGAAAGCGUGGGGAGCAAACAGG